AGCGACAGACGCAGCCGAGCUUCUGCACUCAGCUUUAAUUCCAAAUACGACUUCACAAGUUAAAGUUCGAGGCGUCAUCGGUGGGACGUGACUAUCAGUGUGCAUGCCGUUGGUGCUGCUGGCAGAGGUCAGGGUCCAGCGUGUAGUACAGCCUAGUGGCUCCGAGCCCAGACCUUCCACAUAUUACAGAGAACAUGUAUCAUCAGCAAGGCAGCAGAGCUGCAUCAAAACCAGGUGUAAAUAAAAAAUGAAGGUAUGAUUGCUGCACCCGGAUUGUCUGAUGAGAUUGGCUCCACUAUCUACUCCACCAUUAACUUGAAGCACAGAGGGUCUGACAGACUGAAGAAGCACCAGCUGCCCAACACUGCCACCCUGUGUUCAAGGUGGACCUCUGAAUCAGGCACCUCAUUAGGCCUCUCCCGCGUCACAGUGACGUCAUCGUCGGGGCGAGGGGCGGGAAUGUGACGGCCCGUCCACGGUGCAUGUGGUCCAGAGGCACCGUGCACGCGUCCGUCCCCAUUUGGAGCGUGCAGCCGGGGUCCACCACGACGCUGCUGUGUGAAGACCGGCCUCGGCGUGGGCCAGCUGGGCGCCGGGGGAGAGGCUGCACAUUCACAGCAAACACACAAGAAGCCCCGCGCUCACUCAGAGGAGCGCGGACGGCGGUCGCUCUGUGCAGACUCAACGGAGACUGUGGCGUUUGGGAUCAUAACAACGGCUCCUCGGGGUCGUGUGAAAACAGUGAAAGAGCUAAAACACAUUUAGUGCCAUUCUAGGGCUUAACUCCAAGGUGUGAUCACUGUUUGCUCAACCCAAAUCCUGCACUAGCCCAACAGACGAGGUCGUAUGCAGAUAAAGCACAGGCUGCAGGAUUUUGACUUUCUCCAAACCUAAUCUGUGAGCGAGGGAGGUGGUCGUGGAGUCCCACGGCGUGAGCCACGAGGCUGUUUUCUUAAAAAGCUGAAUAAGGCCUCGCGGCGGUGAGAGGUGACACAAGGGACUCCUAAAGCCAGUGAUUUAUGGCAGGGAACAGGAAUCCCCACGCUGAGCGCAGCAGGUGUGGCCUGAAGCCUGCGACAGUGGUGAUCAGCAGCAGAGAUGAAGGCAGGACCUGAAGGUUACACACAUUCACCGUUACCUAACUAAACCAAAAACCACAUUUUGAAUCAUUCUGAAUGAAAGCCAGCGAAAAUAAUGUAAUAAUCAACAGUAACACAACCCAGAUAUAAGAUGAAGAGAUUAAGAACUACACAUUAGUAAACAAACUCAUUUUGGGUCAUCUGUGUUUCUUUGUGUUUAUGUUGCAUUUAUUUAUUUUUACAUUUUACAUACAAAGACUGUGUGUCCACAUUCUGUUAUUGAGUUGCUGUUAUUCUGUGGUCUUUUCUUGGUUUGGGAGCAUUCUGUUUGUAUUGUUGUGUAUUUUCAUCUGUGUUGUGUCACACAGUGACUCUGCGUGUACAUACUUCACACUACACAUCUUAGCGUCCUUAUAAUUUAAAUUCAUUUAGAUUUGACGAAGAUCCGCUUUCUGUCGCAUCACAUGAUCACGUGGUUCAGUAGCAUAGCAGCCAGUUUGUUGCCCCUUUGCUCACGGGUGGCGUUAGUUCAGUGUGACCUUUAAGGUAAAGAAGGUCAAGGUUCACUGAUCUGGGCGAUGGGCCAAAAGUUCAAAAUAGUAAAAGUCUGAAAAGAGAGAAGCUGACUACACAUUUGUUGAAAAGCAUCGUCGCUAUAACCCUAAUUCACUUUUUGUCCACCUAAAGAAUCUCCCAGCAGCUGGACGCCCCUGGUGACAUCAUCAAGUGUAAAUAUUAACUUAGUGUGAGAUCAGAAUCCGGCAAGAGGGACAUAAAUAUUUCCAGGCUAUAUUUAGGAAACUUUAACCUUUUUUGUAGAAGCUGCUGACAGUUGUUGAGUUCAGUCCUUUUUUGUGCCACCGACUGAUUAAUAGAUCCCAAAUAACUCUGGUUACUUUCUCGCAGGUCUAAAUUCCUCAGCUCUGUGUCCCUGUGGCUGACGUGACACGGACACUUCUAGAUGUUUACCCCUGUUUGCACUGCAAAUCCCAAGAUUGCCUCAUAGCGAAGAGGGAAGGAGGGAGGAAUGCGGAUGCCUUACAAAGCGAAAUGCCCUAAAGUCAUCUGGAAAUGUGACGGCGCUGAACGCCUGGGAGCAGAUUCCUGAUUCCUGGCGGCCGGUUGCUGUGGCGAUGGGCUGAUUGUUUCUGCUUUAUGACUGUGAAAUAGAAACUCGGCAGUGCAAAUGUUUAGAAAUGCACGUAUAGUUGCCGUGAUGCCCAGAAACACUACCUGGUGGAAUGUGCUGCUAAAGGCUGCAGCUAGUUGUGUGCCGGGUUCAUCCAGCUGAAGAGAACAGUGAGACUGAGACAAGACAUUUAAGAUAUAAGAUGUGGACAAAGCAAACAAAGCUAAAAAGGCUCUUAGUGAACUCUAUAUGUUGUUAUUUUUUGCCACAUUUAACAGUUUUUAACAGAGUUUGUGCCAUGUUGUGUGUGAAUUGUGCACCUCAUGGCCAUUAAAGGAGCAGUCCGCUGCUGUAAGUCGACCUCAGAGACUCACAGUGUGUGCGUGAUUAGCAGCCUGGGAUCAGUAGGCGACUCCACUUUUACGUGCGGCGGCGUAAAGCGGAACAGGUGCCGGCCGGAUGGCGAGAGGCAGUUGCGAGGCCCAUUGAGGCUUCAUUACUGGAACAGGAAGAGAACCCAAGCACGUGGGCAAACACACACAACUCAUUACCCCCAGACUAUUGUGUACCUUUCACACCACAACUCAAAGUGUGUGCCUGUGUCAGUGUAUGUGCGUGCGGUGCAUUUAUUGCAUUUAUAUGAGUUUUGUGUUUAAAUGGCUGGGUGGGGAACGUCGUGCGGGUCCUCGGAGGUCCGAUGUGCACCGGCGGUGGUGAGUGUUACAACUGUGGCUGAGAGAUGAUGGAUGAUGUCUGUGGAUCAGUAUCACAGCCAUUUAAGAGUGUGAAGCCUUGUCAGUACAUGUUACUGUGCUACAUACGCUGCUAUUGCUACUAAAUCAGGCUGCGACCAAUAAGCUGACUCAGCGGAUGCUUCCAGCAUCCACCCUUUAACACCACUGUGUCACUGAGCCCCACUCACCCACUGUCUACAUAUGAGGCACGCACACAUGAGGCCUGGACACACUGCUGGUCUCUGUUCUUAUCCAACGCAAUGAUGUACAGUACAGUCAGGGUCCAGUCAUGCGUCAGAAUGACUGCGUCGUUGUAGACAGGUGUCAAACGAACCCUGGAAAGAGUCUGUCACCAUAAACGGACAAAGAACCUCUGAGAAAACGAUUAUUUUUAGUCUGAACGCUUCAGUGUUUGUUCAAAAGCUUUUCACCAAUGACUAUGAUUUGUCGUCAUGGGAACAUUGAUUAAAAUGAAAGAAGGUGGCAAAACGCAUCUUAACCAUGUUCCACUAAUGGAAGA